CGGAGGUCUUGUUGAAUGCGUGUGAGGAGUGGGAGAAAGUUUUUCUGGCAGAUGGUGCUGGGGUCCGCCAUCACCCAUAUCCCCAGGUAUUUCAUUUGGGUUUGGCACCAUCGGAACGGGAAGGUCGAGGCUAUAUCCCCGUGUUCCCCCAGUGGGUCCGUGAUGUUGAGCAGUUCGCAUUUGCUUAAUUAAGUUUGAGGCCCGAGAGGUGUCCGUAUUUUUCAAAUUCUCUGUAUUAUUAUAUAUUUAUAUUACACAC